rnacentral:rRNA from 1 species
CCUACGGGAGGCUGCAGUGAGGAAUAUUGGUCAAUGGGCGCGAGCCUGAACCAGCCAAGUAGCGUGAAGGAUGACUGCCCUACGGGUUGUAAACUUCUUUUAUAAAGGAAUAAAGUGCGGCACGUGUGCCUUUUUGUAUGUACUUUAUGAAUAAGGAUCGGCUAACUCCGUGCCAGCAGCCGCGGUAAUACGGAGGAUCCGAGCGUUAUCCGGAUUUAUUGGGUUUAAAGGGAGCGUAGAUGGGUUGUUAAGUCAGUUGUGAAAGUUUGCGGCUCAACCGUAAAAUUGCAAUUGAUACUGGCAGUCUUGAGUACAGUUGAGGUAGGCGGAAUUCGUGGUGUAGCGGUGAAAUGCUUAGAUAUCACGAAGAACUCCGAUUGCGAAGGCAGCUUACGAAACUGCCACUGACGUUGAUGCUCGAAGGUGUGGGUAUCGAACAGGAUUAGAUACCCCUGUAGUC